UGAAUAUUAAUAAGUUGAAUUUCAUUAAAAUAAAAUCUUUUGCUAUGUGAAAGCUCCUAAGGAGAGUAUAAAAUGAUGAGCCACAAGACAGAGGGUCAAGAUGGUUAACUAGAAGCAGCUAACAUGUGCCACUCUUACAGAGAGAAGAAAAAGUGGUGAGUCAAUACUAGAUCUUCAACAGAAACAUCCAGGUGGACACAUUGGGAUUCAUCAAGGAAAUAACUGAAACCAUAGAGAACAGAGAUACAAGACAGGAUGACCCCUCACCCAGGAGUGACAGAGAAUUUGGAUACUGACUUGCUGCCCUCAGACUGGGGAAGGAGCAAAGAUUCUGAGUGCAUUAACCACACAUGCAGCAAGCUGCAGGUGCCCUAAGAAGAAGCCAGUCUGUCUCCCCUAUGACCCACCCAACCGCCCUCCUUAUCACCAAGCAGGCCACCCGCCACCACCAGGCUUGGGUCCACAAUGAAGCUACCCCAUCACAGGACUAGAGCACAAGACACUGGCAACAACCCAGAAGACCAUAGCAAUGAGACCACUGCAGAUUUUCAAACUCCCUGAAGACAUGACAGGCUAGUCCACCCACAGCUGUUACCUGGGGCUAAAGCACAUGCUCACAUGUCUACCUAUGACUAUUGCCAUUGAAAGCAACCUUGCCUUCUGCAGCAAAAGGGCUGCAGCAUAGCCACUGUCACUAUCACAUGAGCACUCCUCAGGGGCCUGGGAUCACCUUGUCCCUGCUUGCUGUAACUAGUGACUACACACACCACUGAGGCCUGGGGAGGCCUACCUGGCCUGGUUCUGUCUCCUACCCUAGUGCCCAAGCACAUCAUCUGAAGGCCUGGGGAUUUCCCUGCCUCAUGCACCACUGUUGACACAUGAGCACUUAUCUCAGGGGCCUGAGGAUGGGUCCACUCAACCUGCCACUGCCAUUAUACUGAAAACUACCUGCAUGCACAUACUGCGAGACUGAGGACUGGCUUGCCCAGCCCAUCACAAGCACCACCAACAUUAUCAUGAAUAGUUUAGGACGCAGAGAGGUUUCCCACCACUGCUACACCAUUGACAAUGCUAUGCAUACUGCCAAAGGACCUUAGAAUAUUGCCCAUCGCCAUGUACACAACUGUCAAUGCUAGCAUUUGAGUAAGGCACCUGGAGGUCCAAGAAUUGGCCUUCAUAGACCCACUAACACAGAAGCCAGCAUAUGCCAACCUGGGACCCAAGAAUAGGCAGGUGUGUUCCAUUGCUUCACCACUGGAGACAAAGAGUGGCCUACCUGGUGUACCUGUUCUCAGCAAAACUUUACCACAGUCUUCACUAACAACUACACUCUAAACCGUCAAAGAAACCACAGACACAACUAAUGCUGUUCACAGCUAAAGAAAUUAUAUAAAGACAACACUACUGCAUGCACCCAGAACUAAAGCCAAAGUUCCCUCCCCAACUUGAAUGAUGAAUAAAUCUUCAGGAAAAAGUCCUCUCCUUCAAAAGAAAAUCCAAGGAAAGGAAUAAACUGUUACACCAGAUAUACAAAUAUUAAUGUAAGGACACAAGAAACAUAAAAAAGCAAAAAAAAAAAAAAAAUGACAUCUCCAAAGCAUCAAAGUAAUUCUUCAACCACAGAUUUUGAUGAAAAAUAUUCUGAAAUCCUGGAAAAAAAAUUCAAAAUGAUGAUAUUAAAGAAGCUCAGUGAGAUAAUUGAGAACAGAGGUAAACAAUUUAAAAAAUCAGAACACUAAGUGUAAGAAAAAAAAAUUUACCAAAGAGAAAGAGAUCAUGAAAAGAACCAAGUGAAAAUCCUGAAACUGAAGAAUUUAUUGAAUAAAACUUAAAAAACGCAUUCAAGAACUUCAAAUAUAGACCAGAUCAAGCAGAAAAACAGUUUUAGAACUUGAAAACAGGUCCUUUGAAAUGACUCAGGCCAAAAUAAAGAAGACAAAAUUUAAAGGAAUAAGCAAAGUUUUUUUGUCAUAUGGAAAAACAUAAUGUGACAAAAUAUUUACAUUUUUAGUUCAUGAAAGGCAAACAGAAAAAAAAUUGAAAAUCUAGUUACUGAAAUUAUACUUGAAGACUAAGCUUCCUCCCCCUUCAGCCCAGCAUCCGAAUCCUCCCUCUGUUCACUCUCAAUGACUUCCCUUCAAAGAACUGCUUGGAAUGUGACCGAUUUUUCUAAGUCCUCAUCUCUCAGUGGGAGAUUCUCCACCUAACUGUAUCUGGUUGGCCAUCUUGGCUCCCCUUCUAUGUUACCUUUAUGAAACACGCUAACUGAUUUCCACAACUUACUGAAUUUUAGAACAUAGUUGAUGAAAAUCUUGUGUGUCUGAUUCCUUCUGUUUUGAGAAAUAUAUUUAU
rnacentral:lncRNA from 10 species